AAUCCGCAAUCUGUUGCGUGCGCCUCGGCUGGAUAAGGAAGCGCGUUUUUGUUUUUAUUGUUAUGCACUGGGAAUUGACGCCACGGCAAAGAGCAGCGCUAACUUAACAAAAAAGGAGGAUUAGAGCUUGAUAAAAACACUGUGCGGGAGCGGGUACUCAAAGUACUCUGAAGUGACAGGCGACAGUAAAGGAGGCAUAGGAGAAAACAGCAAACUGCACAAUGACAUCCUGAGGCCAACAGCCACAUGUGUCCCAGGUUCUUCAAGACAGAGCAUAUAGAUACACAAUCCCCACUGUCAAACAUGGUGGUGGCAGCAUCAUGGUUUGGGCCUGCUUUUCUUCAGCAGGGACAGGGAAGAUGUUUAAAAUUGAUGGGAAGAUGGAUGGAGCCAAAUACAG